UGAAACUGUAUGACUGGCGUGAGNNNNAGGUAGGCGGAAUGCGUUGUGUAGCGGUGAAAUGCAUAGAUAUGACGCAGAACUCCGAUUGCGAAGGCAGCUUACCAACACUUUACGGACGCUGAGGCACGAAAGCGUGGGUAUCGAACAGGAUUAGAUACCCUGGUAGUCCACGCAGUAAACGAUGAAUACUAAUUGUUCGGGGGGCAACCCCUGAGUGAUACAGCGAAAGCGUUAAGUAUUCCACCUGGGGAGUACGCCGGCAACGGUGAAACUCAAAGGAAUUGACGGGGGCCCGCACAAGCGGAGGAACAUGUGGUUUAAUUCGAUGAUACGCGAGGAACCUUACCCGGGCUCAAACGUUGGGGGAAUGCUCCUGAAAGGGAGCAGCCAGCAAUGGUCGCCAACGAGGUGCUGCAUGGUUGUCGUCAGCUCGUGCCGUGAGGUGUCGGCUUAAGUGCCAUAACGAGCGCAACCCCUGCGUCCAGUUACCAUCAAGUCAUGUUGGGGACUCUGGACGGACUGCCGGCGCAAGCCGUGAGGAAGGCGGGGAUGACGUCAAAUCAGCACGGCCCUUACGUCCGGGGCGACACACGUGUUACAAUGGCGUGGAACAGCGGGAAGCCACCUGGCGACAGGGAGCGGACCCCUAAAACACGUCUCAGUUCGGAUUGGAGUCUGCAACUCGACUCCAUGAAGCUGGAUUCGCUAGUAAUCGCGCAUCAGCCAUGGCGCGGUGAAUACGUUCCCGGGCCUUGUACACACCGCCCGUCAAGCCAUGGGAGCCGGGAGUGCCUGAAGUACGUAACCGGAAGGAGCGUCCAAGGGUAACACUGGUGACUGGGGCUAAGUCGUAACAAGGUAACCA
rnacentral:rRNA from 1 species